UACGUAGGGGGCAAGCGUUGUCCGGAAUCAUUGGGCGUAAAGAGCGUGUAGGCGGUCCGGUCAGUCGGUUGUGAAAGUCAAGGGCUCAACCCUUGAAUGCCGGCCGAUACUGCCGGGCUAGAGUCCGGAAGAGGUGAGUGGAAUUCCUGGUGUAGCGGUGGAAUGCGCAGAUAUCAGGAGGAACACCAAUAGCGAAGGCAGCUCGCUGGGACGGUACUGACGCUAAGGCGCGAAAGCGUGGGGAGCGAACAGG
rnacentral:rRNA from 1 species